UCUUGAUUAUCUGCUUUCAAUAUUCAAUAAAUAUGAUAAUACUGUUCCUACUGUUCAUCCCCUGGAUGUGUCUGCACAACUCCACUUGGUUGAUUGUCUUCAAAAAUUGGGUAUUGAUCGUCAUUUUCAGGAAGAAAUUCAAAGUGUGUUGGAUGAAACAUACAGAUUGUGGCAGCAAGAUGAUGAGGAUAUAUUUUUAGAGCCAACCACAUGUGCUGUGGCAUUUCGUUUAUUACGCCU